GGAUGUGAGGGCGAUCUGGCUGAGACAUCUGUCACCCCAUUGAUGGCCAGGGUUGACUCCGCUGAUCUGGCUGGCUAGACGGUUGUCCCCUUCCUCCCUCACUGCUCCAUGCGCAUCCUCCAGAGGUUGCACGCUCAGUCGAAGAGGACGACCACCCCCAGUAGAGGAGGACCAUUACCUCGGUGUGCUCCCCUGCUAGCACCUCCAAACGAGCUCUCAAAACCCCUCAAGCCAGAAGUAAAGCACAGGUAAUUAGGCUCCAGUGUCUAAAUUCUAAUUACUACACAAAAUAUGUGUUGCAUUUUUUG
ensembl:misc_RNA 7SK 7SK RNA